CCCUUAGAUGUCCUGGGCCGCACGCGCGCUACACUGACGUGUUCAACAAGCCUCCUAGUUCGACAGGAUUUGGGAAAUCUUUGAACGCAUGUCGUGAUAGGGAUAGAUCAUUGCAAUUAUUGAUCUUGAACGAGGAAUUCCUAGUAAACGCGAGUCAUCAGCUCGCAUUGAUUACGUCCCUGCCCUUUGUACACACCGCCCGUCGCACCUACCGAUUGAAUGUUUCGGUGAAGAUUCCGGAUAGGACUUUUUUGAUUUAUUUCAAUUUUGUCUUAAAAGCUAUCUAAACCUCAACAUUUAGAGGAAGGUGAAGUCGUAACA
rnacentral:rRNA from 1 species